AUUGAACGCUGGCGGCAGGCUUAACACAUGCAAGUCGAACGAGUGGCGGACGGGUGAGUAAUGCUUGGGAAUCUAGCUUAUGGAGGGGGAUAACUAUGGGAAACUGUAGCUAAUACCGCGUACCAUAGGAUGAGCCCAAGUGGGAUUAGGUAGUUGGUGCGGUAAAGGCUCACCACGCCGACGAUCUCUAGCUGGUCUGCGAGGAUGACCAUCCAAACUGGGACUGAGACACGGCCCAGACGCCUACGGGAGGCAGCAUGGGGGAAUAUUGCGCAAUGGGGGCAACCUGACGCAGCCAUGCCGCGUGAAUGAAGAAGGCCUUCGGGUUGUAAAGUUCUUUCGGUAGCGAGGCGUUAACUACAGAAGAAGCACCGGCUAACUCCGUGCCAGCCGCCGCGGUAAUUC
rnacentral:rRNA from 1 species